rnacentral:piRNA from 1 species
UGUCGAAGGCAGCGGGCCCUGAAGAGC